CUGUUUUAAAAUCUUAGCCCACUGAAAGGCUCAGCUCUAAUUCCAUUACUUCAUCUCUGACUUAGAUUAUUGCACUUACCACUCUGCUCUCCAUUCUCCAGAAGUAUCAAGAAAUUGUUCUGUGACAUCAGGGUGUCACCUAGGCAUGGCCGACGGUCACCCAGACAGGUUUGUGCAGUAUUAUAUCACCUUAGGCAAUGUCACCAUCCAGAUUUUACCGUUAGCCUUCUAGGUUUAGAAAUCUGAUGGAUUAACCCAUCAGAUUAAGAGACUAAAAUGAGUUUACCCCUCACUGGAAUGUCUGUAUCAAGUGAGUGAGACUGACACAUGAACUCAAAACACUUAAUUUACAGUGUGAAAUGUAAGUCCUAAGAGGAAAGACAACUGCUUACAAGCUGCUGCUGCUGCUGCUGCUAAGUCACUUCAGUCGUGUCAGACUCUGAUCCCAUAGAUAGCAGCCCACCAGGCUCCUCUGUCCCUGCGAUUCUCCAGGCAAGAAUACUGGAGUGGGUUGCCAUUUCCUUCUCCCGUGAGGGUAAAGAAACAUAUGAAAACACACAGAGAUUGGAUCACCUCUCCUGUUCACAGACCUUCCACAGUUGUUUGUUGCCUAAAUAACAAGAAUUCUCCUUCACUUCCUAAUCUGGAUCUGGCGACCUGGAUCUUUCAGGAACAAUGUAUGCAUGCUUCUGCCUUCGUGCCUCCCUUCAUUGCUGCUUCUCUUUGUCUCCCUGCCUGUUAGAAUCCUACGCAGCCUUCAGGGCACAGGAGAAAAUUAUGUUUGAAGUGAGACCUGGCAGAUGGAAAGUGUGUGCGUGACUGCUUAAGUCACUUCAGUCGUGUCCGACUCAGCUGGAGUGAGCUGCCAGGCCCGCCUCCAGGGACUCUUCCGGACCCAGGGAUUGAACCCGCAUCUUUUAUGUCUCCUGCAUUGGCAGAACAAGAGUCGAGGUCUUCUGAGAGAGAAAAGGAGGAAUGGUUGCAGUGGGAAGCACCAUCAGAGAUCUUAGGAGAAUAAAGGAUUUCUGAAACAAUCCUUGAGAAGACUGGGGAAGGGAUUUGAUCAGGGGCACCCAGGGGAACUGCCAGGCAGCUUCAAGGACUUAUUUUAGGUUGGCAGGAAUAUGGAGUUAGCUCUUGUCCAGUGCCAACUGGCUAAGGCUGGAUGGGACCACUGACCCUAAAACUGGGCCUGUGUAGGUGCCUGAUGAAUGACAUCAGAGGAUUGGGAAACUCCAUCCUAAGAUCCUGCUAAGUGCCUUCAUUUUUGGAUGUGCAGAACUCCAAGAGGCUGCCUGCAUUUCUUGGUGCACAGCCCCUUCUUCGAUCUUCAAAACCAGGAGUGAUUGGUGGAAUUGUCAUCUUGCUACAUCCCUCAGACAUUCCUCUAUCUGGACAAAAUCUCCCUCUGUCACCUUUGUGAUUACAUUGGGUCCAUCUGGAUAAUCCAGGCUGAUUAAGGUCCCCAAGUCAAGACCCUUAAUUUGAUGACAUCUGCCAAGUCUGCUUCACCAUGUUGGGCACACUCUCCUUAUUAGGAAUCACUAUUCAUCAAGUUACACUGAUGUAACCGGAAAGAAAAAUCAGUCUGAUCUGCUUGGAAGAUGGGGCUAAGCCUCGUAGUUAAGAUCAUCGUUUGUCGUUCCCGCCCAGCGUGUCGUCCUCUG
ensembl:lncRNA